GAUGAAGAACGUAGCGAAAUGCGAUACGUAAUGUGAAUUGCAAAUUCAGUGAGUCAUCGAAUCUUUGAACGCACAUUGCGCCCUGUGGUAUUCCGCAGGGCAUGCCUGUUCGAGCGUCAUUUCAACCCUCAAGCUCUGCUUGGUGUUGGGCCCUGCCCGCUGCGGCCGGCCCUAAAGACAGUGGCGGUGCCGCCUGGCCCUGAGCGUAGUACAUCUCUCGCUCCAGUGCCCGGUGGUAGCCUGCCAGAACCCCAACUCUCGUGGUUGACCUCGGAUCAGGUAGGGAUACCCGCUGAACUUAAGCAUAUCAAUAAGCGGAGGA
rnacentral:misc_RNA from 1 species